rnacentral:misc_RNA from 1 species
GAUGAAGAACGCAGCGAAAUGCGAUAACUAAUGUGAAUUGCAGAAUUCAGUGAAUCAUCGAGUCUUUGAACGCACAUUGCGCCCCCUGGUAUUCCGGGGGGCAUGCCUGUCCGAGCGUCAUUGCUGCCCUCAAGCCCGGCUUGUGUGUUGGGCCCCGUCCCCCUCUCCGGGGGACGGGCCCGAAAGGCAGCGGCGGCACCGAGUCCGGUCCUCGAGCGUAUGGGGCUUUGUCACCCGCUCUGUAGGCCCGGCCGGCGCCAGCCGACAACCCAUCAUCCUUUUCAGGUUGACCUCGGAUCAGGUAGGGAUACCCGCUGAACUUAAGCAUAUCAAUAAGCGGAGA